CAGUACUUGGUUGAGUUGUUUGGUUUGUAAUGUAACCAUUUAAAUUCGUAUCAUUGCAUAUAUGUUUCCUUGCAUCGUUCAUUUAAUACCAAAUACACAUUAAAUGAAAACAUACUUAGUUUGAGUUGUAUUG
rnacentral:snoRNA from 1 species